UCCGGCUUGACACCGGCAGUCUCCUUAGAGUUCCCGGCCGAACCGCUGGUAACUAAGGACAAGGGUUUCGCUCGUUAAGGGACUUAACCCGACAUCUCACAACACGAGCUGACGACAGCCAUGCAGCACCUGUGCACGUUCCGGUCUUGCGACUGUUACCUCCCUUUCAGGAGGCUAAUCCGUGCAUGUCAAGUCUAGGAUAAGGUUCUUCGCGUAGCCUCGAAUUAAGCCACAUGCUCCACCGCUGGUGUGAGCCCCCGUCAAUUCCUUUGAGUUUCAGCCUUGCGACCAUACUCCCCAGGCGGGGUACUUAACACUUUCGCUCCAGCAGGAGGCGCCAUCGGAACGCUUCCUACUCAGUACCCAUCGUUUAUGGCUAGGACUA
rnacentral:misc_RNA from 1 species